CCGUCGUAGUCUUAACUAUAAAUGAUACUGACCAGGGAUAGGACUCUGUCCAUCUCGACUUCUCCUGGACCUUCGAGAAAUUAGAGUCUUUGAGUUCUGGGGGGAGUAUGGUCGCAAGGCUGAAACUUAAAGGAAUUGACGGAAGGGCACACAAAGAGUGGAACCUGCGGCUUAAUUUGACUCAACACGGGAAAACUCACCAGGUCCAGAUACACGUAUGAAAGACAAGCUGAAAGACUUUUCUCAAUGAUGUAAGUGGUGGUGCAUGGUCGUUCUUAGUUCGUGGAUUGAUUUGUCUGGUCUAUUCCGAUAACGAGCGAGACCCCGACGUUCCUAAUAGGGGUGGCAGCCCGGCUUGCCUGCUUCGGUGGGCUUGCUAGCAGCCGCCUUUUUAGCUUCUUAGACGUAUCAGAGCCGAUAAGGUUCUUGAAAUGGGUUAAUAACAGGUCAGUCAUGCCCUUAGAUGUUCUGGGCCGCACGCGCGUUACAAUGGUAUACAUUAGAACGUGCUCUCAAGGGCGUCUCCGCGGCCGACGGGUCGCGGUAACCCCUAAUCUCUCCCUUGACUGGGACAGACUAUUGCAAUUAUUGGUCUCCAACGAGGAAUUUUUAGUAGGCACAGGUCAUUAACCUGUGCCGAAUGCGUCCCUGCCC
rnacentral:rRNA from 1 species